AGAGUUUGAUCAUGGCUCAGAUUGAACGCUGGCGGCAGGCCUAACACAUGCAAGUCGAGCGGUAGCACAGAGAGCUUGCUCUCGGGUGACGAGCGGCGGACGGGUGAGUAAUGUCUGGGAAACUGCCUGAUGGAGGGGGAUAACUACUGGAAACGGUAGCUAAUACCGCAUAAUGUCGCAAGACCAAAGUGGGGGACCUUCGGGCCUCAUGCCAUCAGAUGUGCCCAGAUGGGAUUAGCUAGUAGGUGGGGUAACGGCUCACCUAGGCGACGAUCCCUAGCUGGUCUGAGAGGAUGACCAGCCACACUGGAACUGAGACACGGUCCAGACUCCUACGGGAGGCAGCAGUGGGGAAUAUUGCACAAUGGGCGCAAGCCUGAUGCAGCCAUGCCGCGUGUGUGAAGAAGGCCUUCGGGUUGUAAAGCACUUUCAGCGGGGAGGAAGGCGAUAAGGUUAAUAACCUUGUCGAUUGACGUUACCCGCAGAAGAAGCACCGGCUAACUCCGUGCCAGCAGCCGCGGUAAUACGGAGGGUGCAAGCGUUAAUCGGAAUUACUGGGCGUAAAGCGCACGCAGGCGGUCUGUCAAGUCGGAUGUGAAAUCCCCGGGCUCAACCUGGGAACUGCAUUCGAAACUGGCAGGCUAGAGUCUUGUAGAGGGGGGUAGAAUUCCAGGUGUAGCGGUGAAAUGCGUAGAGAUCUGGAGGAAUACCGGUGGCGAAGGCGGCCCCCUGGACAAAGACUGACGCUCAGGUGCGAAAGCGUGGGGAGCAAACAGGAUUAGAUACCCUGGUAGUCCACGCCGUAAACGAUGUCGAUUUGGAGGUUGUGCCCUUGAGGCGUGGCUUCCGGAGCUAACGCGUUAAAUCGACCGCCUGGGGAGUACGGCCGCAAGGUUAAAACUCAAAUGAAUUGACGGGGGCCCGCACAAGCGGUGGAGCAUGUGGUUUAAUUCGAUGCAACGCGAAGAACCUUACCUGGUCUUGACAUCCACAGAACUUUCCAGAGAUGGAUUGGUGCCUUCGGGAACUGUGAGACAGGUGCUGCAUGGCUGUCGUCAGCUCGUGUUGUGAAAUGUUGGGUUAAGUCCCGCAACGAGCGCAACCCUUAUCCUUUGUUGCCAGCGGUUAGGCCGGGAACUCAAAGGAGACUGCCAGUGAUAAACUGGAGGAAGGUGGGGAUGACGUCAAGUCAUCAUGGCCCUUACGACCAGGGGCUACACACGUGCUACAAUGGCAUAUACAAAGAGAAGCGACCUCGCGAGAGCAAGCGGACCUCAUAAAGUAUGUCGUAGUCCGGAUUGGAGUCUGCAACUCGACUCCAUGAAGUCGGAAUCGCUAGUAAUCGUAGAUCAGAAUGCUACGGUGAAUACGUUCCCGGGCCUUGUACACACCGCCCGUCACACCAUGGGAGUGGGUUGCAAAAGAAGUAGGUAGCUUAACCUUCGGGAGGGCGCUUACCACUUUGUGAUUCAUGACUGGGGUGAAGUCGUAACAAGGUAACCGUAGGGGAACCUGCGGUUGGAUCACCU
rnacentral:rRNA from 1 species